CCUACGGGAGGCAGCAGUGGGGAAUAUUGCGCAAUGGGCGAAAGCCUGACGCAGCGACGCCGCGUGAGGGAUGAAGGUCUUCGGAUUGUAAACCUCUGUCAGCAGGGAAGAACGGUCACUGUGCUAAUCAGCAGUGAAUUGACGGUAUCUGCAAAGGAAGCACCGGCUAACUCCGUGCCAGCCGCCGCGGUAAUACGGAGGGUGCGUGCGGUAAUCGGAAUUACUGGGCGUAAAGCGAUCGUAGGCGGUAUGUCAAGUCAAGGGUGAAAUCCCCGCGCUCAACGUGGGAACUGCCUUUGAAACUGGCAGACUGGAGUGUGUGAGAGGAUAGUGGAAGUCCAGGUGUAGGAGUGAAAUCCGUAGAUAUCUGGAGGAACACCAGUGGCGAAGGCGACUAUCUGGCACAUAACUGACGCUGAGGAGCGAAAGCGUGGGUAGCAAACAGGAUUAGAUACCCGUGUAGUC
rnacentral:rRNA from 1 species